CCUACGGGAGGCAGCAGUGGGGGAUAUUGCACAAUGGGGGGAACCCUGAUGCAGCGACGCCGCGUGGGUGAAGAAGCGCUUCGGCGUGUAAAGCUCUGUCAGCAGUGAAGAAAAUGACGGUACCUGCAGAAGAAGCCCCGGCUAACUACGUGCCAGCAGCCGCGGUAAUACGUAGGGGGCAAGCGUUAUUCGGAUUUACUGGGUGUAAAGGGGGUGCAGGCGGCGAUGCAAGCCAGGAGUGAAAGCCCGGGGCCCAACCCCGGGACUGCUCUUGGGACUGCGUGGCUGGAGUGAUGGAGGGGCAGGCGGAAUUCCUGGUGUAGCGGUGAAAUGCGUAGAUAUCAGGAGGAACACCGGUGGCGAAGGCGGCCUGCUGGACUGCUACUGACGUUGAGGCCCGAAAGCGUGGGGAGCAAACAGGAUUAGAUACCCGUGUAGUC
rnacentral:rRNA from 1 species